CAGAUGAAUAUUUGGAAUGUUAAAUCAUAGAAAGUGCAGCACAUAUACUAUUAAAUUGUAGGAAAUAUAGGGAAGAAAGGAGAUUAGUUAGGCUGGAAGAAAAUGGAACAAUACGAGAAGAGGUAAAGGAUGCACAGAAAGCUGUUGUGGAAUAUCUGAAAGAUAUAGGAAUAUAUUAAAGCAUUUAGUUAUAUAUAUAUCUAUAUAUAUAUAUAUAUAUAUAUUAUGUAAAGAAGCUUUAUCGAACAUAAUUGAUGCUACAUACUCCCGUUACAGUUGGUGGCGGUAUGCACCUGAUAAGUCAUUAUUGUAACCCGCUAUAAAACUAAAAGAAGAACAACAACAACAUCAACAACAACUUCCAGGCAAGUGUGUUAAGUUGGAGCUACACUCUGCAGGACAGUGGCCCUACAGGACCGAGUUUGGACACUCUUGGCCUAGGCCUAGAACAAAUCAUCUUGUUCCGUCGAUCUGCAACAUUUCGGGGGCUUUAAGGGGUGGGUGUUCUUCUGAAGAACAAGUCUGCGCACUCGUGUGUGGGUGGAGUUUUUGGGGGAAAAGUUUGAGAAGUGUUUCAGUUUUUUUUGGAGUCCAUGCUGUGGUUUUCACAAGCGUUUACGUUGAUAAAAGCAAAGCCUAGUAUCAUCAAAUGCAAAAGAUCCCAAUAGCAGCUGCAGUCAACAGAGAUCCAGCAACAGCUGCAGAGAUCUGCAUUUUCUGAGAUGCAGAGCCUGGAGAAUGUGAAGAAGAGUGUGAAGUCUGUGAAAAAUGCUACAGAAAAUAUUAUUAACCUAAAUGUAGCCUAAACAGGAUUUAACAUUUCAUAAAAACUAAAUAGAAUGAGGUAUUUUGUGAAAUUUGUGUUAUAUAAGGACAGACAACAAAAACACUGAACUUUUAGUAUGU